CUCCUGUGAUUUUCCCCAUAAUAACUUUAGAUAAUGUAGUACCACCUGUUUUGCAUAUUAUGUUAGGAGUUGUGUUAAAACUGUAUAAGUUAUUGUUGAAGGAGUGUAAGACUUUAGAUUGUCAAUCUGUUUCGUCUUUGUCGCAUAAUGAGAAUAUGAGAACGAAUGAAUUGUGGGCUGCUAAAAGCGUUGAAUGUUCUAAAACAGCAGAAGCUUUACGUUUAUUAGGAAAUCAAUUUGUAGACAUUGCAAAUCUACAGGCGCGUUGGUUAGCUUUUAAUAAAAAUAUUUCUGAAUUAUCUCUAAACUCCUCCAAUAAAAAAAUAACCUGUAAACAGCAAGAAAUAUGCAAUAAAAGCCUCUAAGGUGAGAAAGUGUGUUGUGUGUUCUGAGCGUGGCGAAAAUUCAUUUUAUAGACAAGGUCUUUGUCUUGUUUGUGGUCAUCAAAUUUAGUUUAAAUAUUUAAAAAAUUAAAAACAAAAAAAAAACUAUUUACAAGUAAGAUAAAUUAUAUGAGAUCUUUAAUUUGUAUAUAAGAUAAUUUUGUUCUGUUCUAAUAUCUGUGUAAUGUUAGUUUAAAAUAUUAUUUUUUAAUAUAUUGAUUUUAUAUAUUAGAUAGGUGCCCAUUCUGUUCCUAUCUUCAGAAGUUAUUUAUACCUAUGCAAUACCUUCGCUCAGGUUAAAGAAUGAAAUACUAGUCUUGCAUCAAAUAUAUAUUACAUAUCCAUUCGAUGUUUAUCAUCAGAAGUUAGUUCUACCUUUGCAGUACCUCUGCUCUACAUACCUCCUCGCUGGUUUAAGAAUGGAAUAUAAAUCUCAUAUCAAGUUGGUGUAAAAAUUUAGUUCAAUAAAUUAAGAAUUUGUAAACGUUAUCAAAAUUUUGAGUGGAGCAAUUGUUUUUCUGGUUUAGCAUGAGUAUGAAUCUGAUAUCAAUUGGAUGAACAAUGAUAGUUUACUACUUAAAGAACCUAUCAGUAAACCAACUGAUUAUAAAACAGUUUUUAAUGGGAAUAAAAAGAAAUUUUCAAAAGAUUUCAA